GCGGGCGUGAUGGAACCGGUAGACAUAUCAGACUUAAAAUCUGUGGGCCUUUUGGCCGUGUGGGUUCGAGUCCCACCGCCCGCACCA
rnacentral:tRNA from 1 species